rnacentral:rRNA from 1 species
UACGUAGGGGCCGAGCGUUGUCCGGAGUUAUUGGGCGUAGAGCGCGCGCAGGCGGCCUCGCGCGCCCGACGUGAAAGCCCCCGGCUUAACCGGGGAGGGUCGUUGGGGACGGCGGGGCUUGAGGGCGGGAGAGGUCGGUGGAAUUCCCGGUGUAGUGGUGAAAUGCGUAGAGAUCGGGAGGAACACCUGUGGCGAAGGCGGCCGACUGGGCCGACCCUGACGCUGAGGCGCGAAGGCGUGGGGAGCGAACGGG